AUAUUGCUAUGGUUACAGAUGGAAAAUAAGAAUUAAAAUACAAUAAAUGUAAACUAAUUAGCAUUAACAUUAUAUAAAGCUAAAAUGAUCAAUAAAACAGAAAUAUAUGUAGAAAAAUGUAAGGGAACCGUUGUUAGUCCAAAAUUACCGAAGGAUAUAACCAAGCUAUCACUAUGGAGUCAUUGGAAAUUAUCACUAGACAGAGAACGGAAAAGAUUAUAAAUGAAAAAUCAGCACAACAGUUCUCCCUGGCAUGGUUGUAUGCUAUUGACAAAAGUUUUAACCCAGAUCUUCAGUAAUUUUGGACUAACAACAUCCCCCUGCUAUUUUACUACAUAUAUUUGUUUUAUUGAUUAUUUUAGCUUUAUAUACGUUUACAAUAAGUACAAAACUAAUUAUUUUUUAAUUCUUAUUUUUCAUCUGUAACCAUAGCAAUGUUUUUGAAGUAUGUUAAAAACAUUCUAUUCUAUUUUGUAACCUGACAAUGGCUUAAUGCCAAAGACAUUAAGAAUGUUUAUUAAAUCCUAACUAAUUACAAGAAGUAUUUUUGUUUGAUAGCU
rnacentral:lncRNA from 1 species